ACGGAGGGUGCAAGCGUUAUCCGGAUUCACUGGGUUUAAAGGGUGCGUAGGCGGAUAUGUAAGUCCGUGGUGAAAUCUCUGGGCUUAACCCGGAAACUGCCAUGGAUACUAUGUGUCUUGAAUGUUGUUGAGGUGAGCGGAAUAUGUCAUGUAGCGGUGAAAUGCUUAGAUAUGACAUAGAACACCCAUUGCGAAGGCAGCUCACUACGGGAAUAUUGACACUGAGGCACGAAAGCGUGGGGAUCAAACAGGA
rnacentral:rRNA from 1 species